UCUGUGCACUCAUAUUGCGAAUGCCAAAUAAGGGUCUGGGAAAUACGAUUGCCUGUUUUCGUAGUCUUAAUGCAAACCUCGCAGCCUGGUGUGUCGGUACCUCUACCUUCCUGAAUAAUUAAAAACACACAUAUAUACAUCAAACACAUUACUCCUGACAUCUUCUUCCUAAUUCUUCGACCGUGCGACGGCACCUCAGCUUCCAGGCGUGUGAGGGCUGCAGGGAAUGGAGUCCUUCUGAUCCUCACUGUUCUUCACAGAGGAUUCCUCUGGCUUAAACGUUGGUAGGUGGUCAGGCUUUAUUGUGG